GAAGGGACUCAAUGGAAGACAUGUAGAGUGUAUCAGUCCCAUCAAAAUGCACGCAGUGUUACUGAGGCCCAUGAACAAGCCUUGAACUCAUGCUGGAUGAUAAUAUGUGAGUCAUCUUUUACAUGAAGCUUUUACCAAAAGUCUUCUCCAAGGGGCCUCAUAUCUUAUGCUGAGCAGAAAAAUCCACAGUGAAUGUGGAGCAGUGGUGGAGCCAGUAAAAAUGGGGAAUCAUUUGUGCCAUGGAGCAGCAAGUGCCUGAAUCUGAGAGCCAUGGAGUAAACAACACACUAACAAGGGCAUAAUAAGCAACUGAAGAGUGGUAGUUGUUUUUCUAGUUUUCUCUCUCAGCAGCGCAGUAGAGAGAACUUGUGAAAGCAUUCCAGGGAUCUUCACCGCAGUUGGUGGAUUGACAGGGAGGUGGCACAUAAGGAUCCGGACCACCAAGAGGAUAAAGAGGUUGCUGGUGUCAGAGAGGUAAUGGAGUGCAGCCAAUGAGCGAGUAACAAGUAUGAUGAACACUAGACACCACACUAUAUUUCAGGCCACCACAGGUCUGUAUCAAGAAUGCUCUCAAAGAACUGUCUAAGAAGUGGCCCUAAAAGUGUCUGUCUUUCUUUGUUAUAACAACAUUACUUUAAAAUGCCAUACUCUGUAAAUAAAAACUUUAAAAAUGUGACAAAAUUAAUGAUGUG